rnacentral:misc_RNA from 1 species
AAGGAUCAUUAAAAGUCAUUAUUUUAUGAAACCCUUCUGUGUAUUUUUACCUGUUUGGCUUCUGGUAAAAUAGAGUAUAUAUAAACUCUCCAGAACAAAAUACUUAAACCAUUAUUUUCAAUGAUAUCUGUCUGAUUUGUAAUAAAAAAUAAAUAUUAAAACUUUCAACAACGGAUCUCUUGGUUCUC